CUCUGUCCACCUGGGGAGUCUGCAACAGUCAAGAAGCCAACGAAAGAGGCGAGUGGAGCGCAGAGCCGCAGACAGCAUAUGCACGCUCGACCUGGCAAGCCCUAGAAACCAGUAGAUGAAGCUUCAAUCAGCUUCUUCAGAAUCAUCACAACAAAAUGGGGCAAGGUGGGUUUUGUCCAGGACCCAAUUGAAGCUGAAUUUGCAGCAGUUUUGGAAGCUCUAUUUCUUGCUAAUGAUAGAGGUUGGAGGGAGCUAACAAUUAUCUCUGAUGCUAAUGUGAUGGUGGAGGCUAUAAAAGGACAUGAAGCUAUCAUAUCUUAGCGAUUUGCUUUUUUGAUUGAUAGAAUUAGGAAUUUGACUAAGUUGUUUUCUGUUGUAAAAUUUUUCUAUAAGCCUCGGCCCUAUACUAAGCCAGCUCAUAUCAUGGCCCAGGAGGCUAAGUCUUUAGUUGAUAGUUUGUAUUUGGAACUUCCCUCCUAGCUGGCUAGACCCUUUUCUCUCCCUUGUUUCUUAGUUGUUACUUCUCUUUUCACUUAGCAGAAAAAAAAAAGGUUAAGCAGAUUACUGUUUUGUAAACUUUUAUGUUGCUCUGUCUUGGGCUUUUAUUCUAUAGAUUUCUGUUUUUGAAUCUCUUUCUUUC